CGGGGCGUGGCGUAACUGGUAGCCGCACCAGACUUAAAAUCUGACGGCCUCGGCCGUAGGGGUUCGAUUCCCCUCGCCCCGACCA
rnacentral:tRNA from 1 species